rnacentral:rRNA from 1 species
GACAGAGGGUGCAAACGUUGUUCGGAAUUACUGGGCGUAAAGCGCGUGUAGGCUGCUUCAUAAGUCGGGUGUGAAAGCCCUGGGCUCAACCUAGGAAGUGCACUCGAAACUGCGAAGCUUGAGUCCUAGAGAGGAAGGCGGAAUUCUCGGUGUAGAGGUGAAAUUCGUAGAUAUCGAGAGGAACACCGGUGGCGAAGGCGGCCUUCUGGACAGUGACUGACGCUGAGACGCGAAAGCGUGGGGAGCAAACAGG